rnacentral:lncRNA from 1 species
UCGAGGGAUCGUUCGUCAAGUCGGCGGGUCUGGGCACGCUCUACCGACCUGCAACGCUUCCCGAGGUCGAGGGAGUCUGGUUCUCUACGGUCGACCCUCGGGGCAUCCCGACCUUGGUCGAGGGAUCGCUCGCUUCGGGGAUCGGGGAUCGUCGACCGCUCCCGGGGGUCCACUUCGUGGCGCCCCGGGUGGAGCCACCCUUUCCACCCCUCACGGCGCCUUCCCGAGGUCGAGGGAGUCUGGUUCUCUACGAUCGACCCUCGGGGCAUCCCACCUUAGUCGAGGUAGGAGAACGAGCCGAGCUCGUCUGGUCAGAGAGGACCGUGCUCAUAGAUGGAAGUUGAUGGAGAACGAGCCGAGCUCGUCUGGUCAGAGAGGACCGUACUCAUAUCUUGACGUCUCGAGCAUCCCUAUAGCCGGGGCAUCCCGACGAACCGGGGCAUUCUGACCUUAGUCGAGGGAAUUUCGCGCCAAGUCGAUAUUUCGUCGUCCUGCGAUUCUUCCCGAGGUCGAGGGAGUUUGGGACUCUACGGUCGAGCCUCGAG